AAAUGCGAUAAGUAAUGUGCAUUGCAGAAUUCCGUGAAUCAUCGAAUCUUUGAACGCACAUUGCGCCCUCUGGUAUUCCGGGUGGCAUGCCUGUCCGAGCGUCAUUGCGAACCCCUCAAGCACGGCUUGUGUGAUGGGCCCUCCCGCGUCUUGGUCGUCAAGACGGGCCCGAAAUGCAGUGGCGGCUUCGCGGUUAUCCGAUCAGCCAGAGCGUAUGGGGACUCUCUCUCUGUCACACGCCCGCGGCGCGGACCGACGCCUGUCGACCUUUAUUCAUCUUUUCUCGGUUGACCUCGGAUCAGGUAGGGAUACCCGCUGAACUUAAGC
rnacentral:misc_RNA from 1 species